UGUUUAAUAAAAAUCGGUGCGUUGCAAUUUUUGUGAUAUUCCGGAGUUUGAGUUAUCUUAACUUAUUUCUGGGGUUUAAGAGGCUUAAAAUUGACCUUUUUUGUGCAUUUUAGACGUACAUAAAUUUUUUUUAUUCGUUUAUCUUAAUGCCAAAAUCUAUUAGAUGCGACCAUAUAGUGUGGUUCGGUGUCUAUAAAUUUUUCAUG
rnacentral:misc_RNA from 1 species